GGAGGAGUGCCGGAGUGGACAAACGGCGCCGCCUUGAAAGCGGAUGGGCCGAGAGGCCACGGGGGUUCGAAUCCCUCCUCCUCCG
rfam:Ardenticatena maritima DNA, contig: NODE_107, strain: 110S.